AAAUUGAAGAGUUUGAUCAUGGCUCAGAUUGAACGCUGGCGGCAGGCCUAACACAUGCAAGUCGAACGGUAGCACAGAGAGCUUGCUCUCGGGUGACGAGUGGCGGACGGGUGAGUAAUGUCUGGGAAACUGCCUGAUGGAGGGGGAUAACUACUGGAAACGGUGGCUAAUACCGCAUAACGUCGCAAGACCAAAGAGGGGGACCUUCGGGCCUCUUGCCAUCAGAUGUGCCCAGAUGGGAUUAGCUUGUUGGUGAGGUAACGGCUCACCAAGGCGACGAUCCCUAGCUGGUCUGAGAGGAUGACCAGCCACACUGGAACUGAGACACGGUCCAGACUCCUACGGGAGGCAGCAGUGGGGAAUAUUGCACAAUGGGCGCAAGCCUGAUGCAGCCAUGCCGCGUGUAUGAAGAAGGCCUUCGGGUUGUAAAGUACUUUCAGCGGGGAGGAAGGUGUUGUGGUUAAUAACCGCAGCAAUUGACGUUACCCGCAGAAGAAGCACCGGCUAACUCCGUGCCAGCAGCCGCGGUAAUACGGAGGGUGCAAGCGUUAAUCGGAAUUACUGGGCGUAAAGCGCACGCAGGCGGUCUGUCAAGUCGGAUGUGAAAUCCCCGGGCUCAACCUGGGAACUGCAUUCGAAACUGGCAGGCUUGAGUCUUGUAGAGGGGGGUAGAAUUCCAGGUGUAGCGGUGAAAUGCGUAGAGAUCUGGAGGAAUACCGGUGGCGAAGGCGGCCCCCUGGACAAAGACUGACGCUCAGGUGCGAAAGCGUGGGGAGCAAACAGGAUUAGAUACCCUGGUAGUCCACGCCGUAAACGAUGUCUACUUGGAGGUUGUGCCCUUGAGGCGUGGCUUCCGGAGCUAACGCGUUAAGUAGACCGCCUGGGGAGUACGGCCGCAAGGUUAAAACUCAAAUGAAUUGACGGGGGCCCGCACAAGCGGUGGAGCAUGUGGUUUAAUUCGAUGCAACGCGAAGAACCUUACCUGGUCUUGACAUCCACAGAAGAAUCCAGAGAUGGAUUUGUGCCUUCGGGAACUGUGAGACAGGUGCUGCAUGGCUGUCGUCAGCUCGUGUUGUGAAAUGUUGGGUUAAGUCCCGCAACGAGCGCAACCCUUAUCCUUUGUUGCCAGCGGUCCGGCCGGGAACUCAAAGGAGACUGCCAGUGAUAAACUGGAGGAAGGUGGGGAUGACGUCAAGUCAUCAUGGCCCUUACGACCAGGGCUACACACGUGCUACAAUGGCGCAUACAAAGAGAAGCGACCUCGCGAGAGCAAGCGGACCUCAUAAAGUGCGUCGUAGUCCGGAUUGGAGUCUGCAACUCGACUCCAUGAAGUCGGAAUCGCUAGUAAUCGUGGAUCAGAAUGCCACGGUGAAUACGUUCCCGGGCCUUGUACACACCGCCCGUCACACCAUGGGAGUGGGUUGCAAAAGAAGUAGGUAGCUUAACCUUCGGGAGGGCGCUUACUACUUUGUGAUUCAUGACUGGGGUGAAGUCGUAACAAGGUAACCGUAGGGGAACCUGCGGUUGGAUCACCUCCUUACCUGAAAGAAGC
rnacentral:rRNA from 1 species